rnacentral:rRNA from 1 species
AACGAACGCUGGCGGCAGGCUUAACACAUGCAAGUCGAACGCACCGCAAGGUGAGUGGCAGACGGGUGAGUAACACGUGGGGAUCUGCCCAAUGGUACGGAAUAGCUCCGGGAAACUGGAAUUAAUACCGUAUGUGCCCUUCGGGGGAAAGAUUUAUCGCCAUUGGAUGAACCCGCGUCGGAUUAGCCAGUUGGUGAGGUAAAGGCUCACCAAGGCGACGAUCCGUAGCUGGUCUGAGAGGAUGAUCAGCCACACUGGGACUGAGACACGGACCAGACUCCUACGGGAGGCAGCAGUGGGGAAUAUUGGACAAUGGGCGCAAGCCUGAUCCAGCCAUGCCGCGUGAGUGAUGAAGGCCUUAGGGUUGUAAAGCUCUUUCGCCGACGAAGAUAAUGACGGUAGUCGGAGAAGAAGCCCCGGCUAACUUCGUGCCAGCAGCCGCGGUAAUAC